GUGCUUGCUUUGACAGCACAUAUUCUAAAAAUUGGAAUAAUAGAGAGAAGAUUAGCAUGGCCCCUGUGCAAAGAUUACGUACAAAUUCAUGAAGUGCUCCAUAUUUUC
rnacentral:snRNA from 1 species